rnacentral:rRNA from 1 species
GGAUUAGAUACCCUGGUAGUCCUAGCUGUAAACGAUGUGCACUAGGGAGGGGGGGCACCUGUGUCCUCCCUCCCCCAGCGAAAGCGUUAAGUGCACCGCCUGGGGAGUACGGUCGCAAGGCUAAAACUCAAAGGAAUUGACGGGGGCUCACACAAGCGGUGGAGCAUGUUGCUUAAUUCGAAACAACGCGAAGAACCUUACCUAGGCUUGACAUGCACGGAUUAGCUCUUGGAAACAUGAGUGACGCCCUUCGGGUGGAACGUGCACAGGUGCUGCAUGGCCGUCGUCAGCUCGUGCUG